rnacentral:lncRNA from 1 species
GAGGAACUGCCCGGGCGCGGUAGCGUACGGGAAGACCGGAGAGGAGCUGCGUCUCUGCCCCGUGGGAGCCGGCGGGGCGGCGGGGCGGCGGCUGCAGCUGCAGCUCCGGCGCGAGGGCUCCCUUGCCGGGCCCUCUUCCCCGACCCCUGGGGCGCUCCGACAAGGAAGAGCCGUCCAGCGCGCGUCCGUCCUGAGCGUGGAGGAGUUGGUGAACAGCAGGAUGGAUGGGAUGUCAGUCAGCUGUGCCCCUGGCUACCCCUGUGCUUGAACAGUGGACUGUGAGUGGCGGCGUCAUGCAGAAGGAGCACAGGGUCCCAGGCCAGCAUCACUAUCCAGGAGCUUCAGGCAUGCUCCGUGUACCAACAUGGGAUCACGAAUCACAUCGCCUCAGGCCAAGAAAGCCAUUUUAUAGCGAAAGAGCCUUAGGAUCUGCUGGAUUAGAGCCUGUUUCCCAGGUAGGAACGCUUCCACGAGGGCACUCCUGCUGGUUGCAGGAAGGAUACCUCUGCUGAGCCUGAAUCUGCAAAGACCACCAGGUUACUCUCAGCUCCUCAUACUGGUGGACCAGCAGGCCACAAAGGAGGGGAUACUUGAUCCUGAUAAACGGUUAUGCUUGUUUGCUGAUGGAAAUGAUCCAGAAGAGAAGGACAAGUUGACGAUUGAGAGGGUUAAUGUCAGGUAAGAAACUUGAGUGGACAUUGAGGAAAGAGCGAGGUUCAGUGGACUGGAGGUUUGUGGUGGUUUCAUGACACGUGGACUGGAGAUUUGCAGUGGUUUUAUGACACAUGGACUGGAGGUUUGUGGUGGUUUCAUGACACAUGGACUGCAGAUUUGCAGUGGUUUUAUGACACAGCUCCUAAGUUCUUUGACACUCUUCCCAUGGAGGGGUAGGGUCUGUGACCCCCCUCUUGAAGCUGGGUAGGCUUGCAACUGCUUUGGCCAAUAGUCACAGCAGCAGUGAUGCUGUAGGACUUACAAGGUUAGACCAGAAAAGGGCAUGCCCUCCAAGGAUCCUUACUCUGAUGGGAACCAGCCAUCAUGUAGAAACUCUACCCUUGGCUGGGUGCGGUGGCUCACGCCUGUAGUCCUAGCAUUUUGGGAGGCCGAGGUGGGCGGAUCACCUGAGGUCAGGAGUUCCAGACCAGCCUGGCCAACAUGGCGAAGACCCGCCUCUACUAAAAAUACAAAAAAAAAAUGAGCUGGGCGUGCUGGCAGGCACCUAUAAUCCCAGCUACUCGGGAGGCUGAGGUAGGAGAAUCACUUGAACCCAGGAGGUGGAGGUUGCAGUGAGCCAAGAUCACACCACUGCACUCCAACCUGGGUGACAGAGCGAGACUCUUGUCUCCAAAAAAAAAAAGAAAAGAAAAGAAACUACCCUGAGACCACGAUGCAGGAGAGCCCAGUGGAUAUGCUGGUGACAGCCGCAGCAGAGCCCCCAGCUCACACUCAGCAUCCACUGCCAACCUUCUGAAUGAACCAUCUCAGACCUCGAGCCAGGCUUACCUCCAACUGCAACCAAACCUCAAAAGAGACCCAGGCAAGAACUUCCCAUUGGAGUCCUUCCUGAAUUUCCACCCUCAAAACAAACAAUUGUAAAUAACAACUUAAUUGUUUUAAUCCACUAAAUUUGAGGAUAAUUUGUUACACAGUAAUAGUAAUUGAAGCACAUUUCUUAUGGAGUUAAAAAAAAAAAAAAAGGCUUGACACAGUGGCUCACGCCUGUAAUCCCAGCACUUUGGGAGGCUGAGGUGAGUGGAUUGCUUGAGCUCAGGAGUUUGAGACCAGGCUGAGCAACAUGAUGAAACCCUGUCUCUACAAAAAAUAAAAACAUUAGCCAGGUGUGGUGGCACACAUCUAUAGUCCAACUACUCUGAGGAAUGAAGUGGGAGAAUUGCUUGAACCUAGGAGGCAGAGGUUACAGUGAGCUGAGAUUGCACCACUACAUUCCUGCCUGGGUGACAGAGCAAGACCCUGUCUCAAAAAAAAAAAAAAGUGGGUAUUGUAGUAAUGCAGCAAGAGACCAAGAAAAGUAGGAGGUAGUGAUCAGAGACCUGGCUGCAUAAAAAUGAAGAUUCGGGAAAUGGUGGCGUUAGGACUUCACCAUGGUGAAGGUAGAACUCUUAAUUUUCAUCUUUAUUAAAUGUGUCUGUUUGCAGUUUUAACCAUUGGCAUAUUUAUUUUGUGUUUGUGAUUUCUGUGAAAUAUGAGUACAAUAAAUACUGAUAGUUUGCAUUUGUUUUCUAAUCUCUCAGAAAGUUGUCAGAAAAUGUUCUCUGACUUUUUAGAAUUGCUGUGGUCAGG